UUGCUCACUUAGACAGCACAUAUACUAAAGUUGGAAUGACAUGGAGGUUAGCAUGGCCCUCUGCACAAGGAUGACAUGCAAAUCUGUGACUCGUUCCUUAUUUUU
rnacentral:snRNA from 1 species